GAUGAACGCUGGCGGCGUGCCUAAUACAUGCAAGUCGAGCGAACAGACGAGGAGCUUGCUCCUCUGACGUUAGCGGCGGACGGGUGAGUAACACGUGGAUAACCUACCUAUAAGACUGGGAUAACUUCGGGAAACCGGAGCUAAUACCGGAUAAUAUAUUGAACCGCAUGGUUCAAUAGUGAAAGACGGUUUUGCUGUCACUUAUAGAUGGAUCCGCGCCGCAUUAGCUAGUUGGUAAGGUAACGGCUUACCAAGGCAACGAUGCGUAGCCGACCUGAAAGGGUGAUCGGCCACACGGGAACGGAGACACGGUCCAGACUCCUACGGGAGGAAGCAGUAGGGAAUCUUCCGCAAUGGGCGAAAGCCUGACGGAGCAACGCCGCGUGAGUGAUGAAGGUCUUCGGAUCGUAAAACUCUGUUAUUAGGGAAGAACAAAUGUGUAAGUAACUAUGCACGUCUUGACGGUACCUAAUCAGAAAGCCACGGCUAACUACGUG
rnacentral:rRNA from 1 species